rnacentral:rRNA from 1 species
GGGUAAGUUCCGACCUGCACGAAUGGUCUAAUGAGUUGAACGCUGUCUCCUCCGUGAGCCCGGUGAAAUUGUAGUAUCGGUGAAGAUGCCGGUUACCCGCUACGGGACGGAAAGACCCCGUGAACCUUCACUAUAGCUUUACAUUGACAUUUGACAAAAGAUGUGUAGGAUAGGUGGGAGGCUUCGAAGCGGUUUCGCCAGGAAUCGUGGAGCCACCGUUGAAAUACCACCCUUCGUUUGUCGGGUGUCUAACGUCGCAGAGCGACAGACAGUGUAUGGCGGGUAGUUUGACUGGGGUGGUCGC